UACGAAGGGGGCUAGCGUUGUUCGGAAUUACUGGGCGUAAAGGGCGCGUAGGCGGUGUGUCAAGUCAGGCGUGAAAGCCCCGGGCUCAACCUGGGAACCGCGCUUGAGACUGGCACGCUCGAGUUCGGGAGAGGAUGGUGGAAUUCCCAGUGUAGAGGUGAGAUUCGUAGAUAUUGGGAAGAACACCGAUGGCGAAGGCAGCCAUCUGGACCGACACUGACGCUGAGGCGCGAAAGCGUGGGGAGCAAACAGG
rnacentral:rRNA from 1 species